rnacentral:tRNA from 11 species
GCGUUUGUAGUCCAACGGUUAGGAUUAUUGUCUUCCAAGCAAUAGACCCGGGUUCGACUCCUGUCAAAUGCA